CAAGUCGAAUGUAGCAAUACAUGGGCGGACGGGUGAGUAACGCGUGAGCAAUCUGCCCAUAUCUGGGGGAUAACAGUUGGAAACGACUGAUAAUACCGCAUAACAUCGUUUGAAGGCAUCUUCGGACGAUCAAAGAUUUAUCGGAUAUGGAUGAGCUCGCGUCUGAUUAGCUGGUUGGUGAGGUAACGGCCCACCAAGGCGACGAUGCAUAGCCGGCCUGAGAGGGCGGACGGCCACACUGGGACUGAGACACGGCCCAGACUCCUACGGGAGGCAGCAGUAGGGAAUUUUCGUCAAUGGGCGCAAGCCUGAACGAGCAAUGCCGCGUGAACGAGGAAGGUCUUCGGAUCGUAAAGUUCUGUUGAAGGGGAAAAAGAGCGGAGAGAGGAAAUGGUCUCCGAUUGAUAUUACCCUUCGAGGAAGUCACGGCUAACUACGUGCCAGCAGCCGCGGUAAUACGUAGGUGGCGAGCGUUAUCCGGAAUGAUUGGGCGUAAAGGGUGCGUAGGCGGCCUGCUAAGUCUGGAGUGAAAGGUACCGGCUCAACCGGUACAGGCUCUGGAAACUGGCGGGCUAGAGAGCAGGAGAGGGCGGUGGAACUCCAUGUGUAGCGGUAAAAUGCGUAGAUAUAUGGAAGAACACCAGUGGCGAAGGCGGCCGCCUGGCCUGUUACUGACGCUGAGGCACAAAGCGUGGGGAGCAAAUAGGAUUAGAUACCCUAGUAG
rnacentral:rRNA from 1 species